rnacentral:rRNA from 1 species
UAAUACGAAGGGGGCUAGCGUUGUUCGGAAUUACUGGGCGUAAAGCGCACGUAGGCGGCUUUCCAAGUUGGAGGUGAAAUCCCCGGGCUUAACCCGGGAACUGCCUCCAAAACUGAAAGGCUAGAGUCCGAGAGAGGUGAGUGGAAUUUCCAGUGUAGAGGUGAAAUUCGUAGAUAUUGGAAAGAACACCAGUGGCGAAGGCGGCUCACUGGCUCGGUACUGACGCUGAGGUGCGACAGCGUGGGGAGCAAACAGGAUUAGAUACCCUGGUAGUCCACGCCGUAAACGAUGGGUGCUAGUUGUCGGGCAGCUUGCUGUUCGGUGACGCAGCUAACGCAUUAAGCACCCCGCCUGGGGAGUACGGUCGCAAGAUUAAAACUCAAAUGAAUUGACGG